rnacentral:rRNA from 1 species
AUGCAGGUUGAGUACGCGGCGCUGAUGCAGAACCGGACAUGGAGCCUCGUUCCCCGACCGCGCGGCGCCAACAUUGUCACGGGGAAGUGGCUCUUCCGCCACAAGCUCACAGCUGAUGGGAGCCUGGAACGCUACAAGGCAAGAUGGGUGGUCCGUGGAUUCUCCCAACGCCCCGGUGUCGACUUCGACGAGACCUUCUCGCCGGUGGUCAAGGCGGCCACCAUUCGCGUCGUCCUCUCCGUCGCUGCCGCGCACAACUGGCCGGUGCACCAGAUGGACGUGAACAACGCAUUCCUGCAUGGUCACCUCACCGAGCGCGUCUACUGCCAGCAGCCCGUCGGGUUCGUCGAUGCAAGCCACCCCGACCACGUCUGCCUCCUCGACAAGUCGCUCUAUGGCCUCAAGUAG